AGAGUUUGAUCCUGGCUCAGAUUGAACGCUGGCGGUAUGCUUAACACAUGCAAGUCGAACGGUAACAGGCUUUCGGGCGCUGACGAGUGGCGGACGGGUGAGUAACGCGUAGGAAUCUGCCUCAUAGUGGGGGACAACGUGGGGAAACUCACGCUAAUACCGCAUACGCCCUACGGGGGAAAGCGGGGGAUCUUCGGACCUCGCGCUAUGAGAUGAGCCUGCGUUAGAUUAGCUAGUUGGUGGGGUAAAGGCCUACCAAGGCGACGAUCUAUAGCUGGUCUGAGAGGACGAUCAGCCACACUGGGACUGAGACACGGCCCAGACUCCUACGGGAGGCAGCAGUGGGGAAUAUUGGACAAUGGGCGAAAGCCUGAUCCAGCAAUACCGCGUGUGUGAAGAAGGCCUUAAGGUUGUAAAGCCCCUUUCAAUUGGGAGGAAAAACCUACCGGUCAAUACCCGGGUAGCUUGACAUUACCCUUUAGAAGAAGCACCGGCUAACUCCGUGCCAGCAGCCGCGGUAAUACGGAGGGUGCCGAGCGUUAAUCGGAAUUACUGGGGUAAAGCGUGCGUAGGCGGUUCGUUAAGUCAGAUGUGAAAGCCCUGGGCUCAACCUGGGAACUGCAUUUGAAACUGGCGGACUAGAGUUUAGUAGAGGGGAGUGGAAUUUCAGGUGUAGCGGUGAAAUGCGUAGAUAUCUGAAGGAACACCAGUGGCGAAGGCGACUCCCUGGACUAGAACUGACGCUGAGGUACGAAAGCGUGGGUAGCAAACAGGAUUAGAUACCCUGGUAGUCCACGCCGUAAACGAUGUCAACUAGCCGUUGGGCCUAUUUACAGGUUUAGGGCGCAGCUAACGCAUUAAGUUGACCGCCUAGGAGACGGC
rnacentral:rRNA from 1 species